CGGGGUGUAGCGCAGUUGGUAGCGUACUACGUUCGGGACGUAGGGGUCGGAAGUUCGAGUCUUCUCACCCCGA
rnacentral:tRNA from 1 species